AAAAAAAGUUGCCAAAACCUAUGGCCAAACGGGAGCUAAAGGUGGUUAAAAUUUGGUUGAGGUUGUUUUGAGUGAGUGAAUUACGUGAAUUUCCUUUUUCUCAUUAAUUAGUACAUUUAUCCCCUUUUCAAUUUUGAUUUUUUCUCCUCUACACUUGCUCAUUAUUUUUCUAUUUAUGACGAUUUUUUCCCU